UCUUUCUUGCUUUUCCCUCCCUUUCUUUCUAGCCCCGCUUUCCGUUUCCUGGUGCUGGUCUCUUUUCUUUUCCCACACCCUCUUUAUUGUCUUUACUCUCUUUUUCCUUCUCCUUUUGUUCCAUUUCUUUUUCUUGUUUUUCCUUCUCUUCCCUCGUUUCUUUCUCUAGCUGUUCUUUCUCUUCUCUAUCCUUUUUUUCUCUUGCUAAUCGGUCCAUUUCUUCUUGUUUUUCCUUUCUUUUUCAAGCGUUUGCUCAAGCGCUUGUCUUUCCCUCAUCUCCUUUUCUUCCUUUUCCUUAUUUUCUCCAUCAAUCCUCUCGUGUUCUACCCUGUCUUUUUCUUCUUGUUCUCUCCUUUCUUUUUCCGGCUGCUUCUUCCUUUCCAAACUUUCCAUCUCUUUCUCUUCUCUUUCCUUCUUUUCGCUCUCCGUUCUCGCUCUCUCCAGUUCACGUUCUUCCCUCUCUUCCCCCUCCUUCCUCUCUCUUUCUAGCCGAUCUUCUUCUUCCUUCUUCCCCCUCUGCAGUCUCUCACUUUCCUCCUCUUUCUCUUGCGUUUUUAAAUGCUCUAUUUCUUCAUGAUCAGCUUCCACUAGCUCGAGUCUGGCCUCGGCAUCAUCUUUGGAUUUCUGCCUCGUCCUCUUUCGUCCUCUUCCUUUGUUCCCUUGAUCUACCUCUUCUUCACUGUCCAACUCUUGCACUACUGUCACUCGCUUCCCUCUCUUCUCUUUCUCUGCCGUAGCUCUUCCUCUGCCUUUACCCUUGCCAGAUGCUGCUGUUGCUGUUUCUUUUCCUCUCAGGCUCCUCCGACAGUCUUGCUCUUCCUCCUCGUUACGUCUCCUCAUACUGGAUCUCUUGGUAGAUAUGGCUUCACUCUGUUGCUCUUCUUCCUGUUCCUCCUUAUCCU
ensembl:lncRNA